rnacentral:rRNA from 1 species
CGGCAGUUGCAAAAGUGGCGAAGCGCUUGACGGCAAGCUGAAUGCGGCAUGACGAGCGGGUCAAGAUAAAGCGGCCCUUCUUAGCAUGGCCCCCGCAUCAGUGGGAAAUUAUAGGCGACGCGGUCGAAAAGUCGGUCUUGUAUCCUAUCUAAAAAGACACGCCGAUUAACAACACGCGAAUUUCCGUACUUACAAGAAGGAAAGAGAAAGCAAACCAAUAAUCAUACGGUGGACCUUCACACUAACGUCAACGUUAUUGCCGUUAAACGAAUAAAAUACCGUGCAAUUCGUGCGAUAACUACUUUUUUCUCUGUGAGUCUUUUAAUAAAAUUUAA